AACGCACAUUGCGCCCUCUGGUAUUCCGGGGGGCAUGCCUGUUCGAGCGUCAUUAACAACCUUCAAGCUUUGCUUGGUAUUAGGCCACACCUGCUUAUACAGGCGGGCCGUAAAAUCAGUGGCGGUGCCUUCUGGCUUCAAGCGUAGUAAAUAUUUCGCCUGGAUAACUAGAAGGUUACUUGCCAACAACCCUAAUUUUCAAAGUUGACCUCGGAUCAGGUAGGGAUACCCGCUGAACUUAA
rnacentral:misc_RNA from 1 species